AUUGAACGCUGGCGGCAGGCCUAACACAUGCAAGUCGAACGAGUGGCGGACGGGUGAGUAAUGUCUGGGAAACUGCCUGAUGGAGGGGGAUCACUACUGGAAACGGUAGCUAAUACCGCAUACCAUCGGAUGUGCCCAGAUGGGAUUAGCUAGUAGGUGGGGUAAAGGCUCACCUAGGCGACGAUCCCUAGCUGGUCUGAGAGGAUGACCAGCCACACGUGAACUGGGACCCGGUCCAGACGCUUACGGGAGGCAGCAGGGGGGAAUAUUGCACAAGGGGCGCAAUCCUGAUGCAGCCAUGCCGCGUGUAUGAAGAAGGCCUUCGGGUUGUAAAGUACUUUCAGCGGGGAGGCGUUACCCGCAGAAGAAGCACCGGCUAACUCCGUGCCAGCCGCCGCGGUAAUAC
rnacentral:rRNA from 1 species